GGGGCCAUAGCUCAGUUGGCUAGAGCGCCGCGUUUGCAACGCGGAGGUCGUGGGUUCGAAUCCCACUGGCUCCA
rnacentral:tRNA from 1 species